rnacentral:tRNA from 1 species
GGACGUGUAGCUCAGUUGGCCAGAGCAAUCGGCUCUUAACCGAUGGGUCGUGGGUUCGAAUCCCACCGCGUCCACCA